UACGUAGGGGGCAAGCGUUGUCCGGAUUUACUGGGCGUAAAGAGCGUGUAGGCGGCCACGCAGGUCCGUUGUGAAAACUGGAGGCUCAACCUCCAGCUGUCGACGGAAACCGUAUGGCUAGAGUCCGGAAGAGGAGAGUGGAAUUCCUGGUGUAGCGGUGAAAUGCGCAGAUAUCAGGAAGAACACCCGUGGCGAAGGCGGCUCUCUGGGACGGUACUGACGCUGAGACGCGAAAGCGUGGGGAGCAAACAGG
rnacentral:rRNA from 1 species